rnacentral:rRNA from 1 species
UUAGAGUUUGAUCAUGGCUCAGAAUCAACGCUUUGCGGCGCGCUUAACACAUGCAAGUCGAACGAGAAAGUGGAGCAAUCCAUGAGUAAAGUGGCGUACGGGUGAGUAACACGUGGGGAUCUACCCUUUGGUGGGGAAUAACCUGGGGAAACCUGGGCUAAUACCGCAUAAGUCCGCAAGGAGAAAGUCGCAAGACGCCGAUGGAGGAACCCGCGGCCGAUUAGCUAGUUGGUGAGGUAAAAGCUCACCAAGGCAACGAUCGGUAGCCGGCCUGAGAGGGCACACGGCCACACUGGCACUGAAACACGGGCCAGACUCCUACGGGAGGCAGCAGUGGGGAAUCUUGCACAAUGGGGGCAACCCUGAUGCAGCGACGCCGCGUGAGUGAUGAAGCCCUUCGGGGUGUAAAGCUCUUUCGACGGGGACGAUUAUGACGGUACCCGGAGAAGAAGCUGCGGCUAACUACGUGCCAGCAGCCGCGGUAAUACGUAGGCAGCGAGCGUUGUUCGGAAUUACUGGGCGUAAAGAGUGCGUAGGCGGUUCGGCCAGUCUGGUGUGAAAUCUCCCGGCUUAACUGGGAGGGUGCGCUAGAAACUGCCGGGCUAGAGUGUGGGAGAGGAAAGUGGAAUUCCUGGUGUAGCGGUGAAAUGCGUAGAUAUCAGGAGGAACACCUGCGGUGUAGACGGCUUUCUGGACCACUACUGACGCUGAGGCACGAAAGCGUGGGGAGCAAACAGGAUUAGAUACCCUGGUAGUCCACGCCCUAAACGAUGCGGACUUGGUGUGCGCCCUUCAUUGGGUGCGUGCCGGAGCUAACGCGUUAAGUCCGCCGCCUGGGGAGUACGGUCGCAAGGCUGAACUCAAAGGAAUUG